rnacentral:rRNA from 1 species
AGUCAAUAGAUACCCGGGUAGUCCAUGCCGUAAACGAUGAUUGCUAGGUGUGGGGGGUCUGACCCUUCCGUGCCGGAGUUAAACACAAAUAAGCAAUCCACCUGGGGAGUACGGCCGCAAGGUUGAAACUCAAAGGAAUUGACGGGGGCCCGCACAAGCAGUGGAGUAUGUGGUUUAAUUCGAAGCAACGCGAAGAACCUUACCAGGUCUUGACAUCCACCGAAUCCUGUAGAGAUACGGGAGUGCCCUUCGGGGAGCGGUGAGACAGGUGGUGCAUGGUUGUCGUCAGCUCGUGUCGUGAGAUGUUGGGUUAAGUCCCGCAACGAGCGCAACCC